GCGAGAACUUUCCAGAGAUGGAUUGGCUGCCUUCGGGCAACUCUGUACACAGGUGCUGCNUGGCUGUCGUCAGCUCGUGUCGUGAGAUGUUGGGUUAAGUCCCGUAACGAGCGCAACCCUUGUCCUUAGUUACCAGCACGUUAAGGUGGGCACUCUAAGGAGACUGCCGGUGACAAACCGGAGGAAGGUGGGGAUGACGUCAAGUCAUCAUGGCCCUUACGGCCUGGGCUACACACGUGCUACAAUGGUCGGUACAAAGGGUUGCCAAGCCGCGAGGUGGAGCUAAUCCCAUAAAACCGAUCGUAGUCCGGAUCGCAGUCUGCAACUCGACUGCGUGAAGUCGUGUAAUC
rnacentral:rRNA from 1 species